rnacentral:tRNA from 1 species
GGGGAAAUAGCUCAUUGGGUAGAGUGCUUGCCUCCAGCAAGGCUCUGGGUUCAAUCCCCAGCACCACCA